AAUAAUAAGUAACUAACAUAAAGUGCAAUUUUUAGUUAUUGCCACAUGAACUGAUGUGUCCAAUGAAGCCAAGAUGUUGCCCUUUAGCAGAGGCAGGUUGUCCCUUCAAGGGCACAUCUGAAGAGCUCGAUACACACUCUAAUGAUGUCCAGACUCACAUGCGAAUUAUGGCAGAAGCAAUGACUCAAUAUCGUUUAAAUAUACAG